ensembl:snRNA U6 U6 spliceosomal RNA
GUGCUCGCUUCGGCAGCACGUAUACUAAAAAUUGGAAUGAUACAGAGAAGAUUGGCAUGGCCCUGAGCAAGGAAGACAUGCACAUUCGUGUCGUGUUCCAUAUUUUU